GCUCAGAUGAACGCUGGCGGCAGGCCUAACACAUGCAAGUCGAGCGGUAGCACAGAGAGCUUGCUCUCGGGUGACGAGCGGCGGACGGGUGAGUAAUGUCUGGGAAACUGCCUGAUGGAGGGGGAUAACUACUGGAAACGGUAGCUAAUACCGCAUAAUGUCGCAAGACCAAAGUGGGGGACCUUCGGGCCUCAUGCCAUCAGAUGUGCCCAGAUGGGAUUAGCUAGUAGGUGGGGUAACGGCUCACCUAGGCGACGAUCCCUAGCUGGUCUGAGAGGAUGACCAGCCACACUGGAACUGAGACACGGUCCAGACUCCUACGGGAGGCAGCAGUGGGGAAUAUUGCACAAUGGGCGCAAGCCUGAUGCAGCCAUGCCGCGUGUGUGAAGAAGGCCUUCGGGUUGUAAAGCACUUUCAGCGGGGAGGAAGGCGUUAAGGUUAAUAACCUUAUCGAUUGACGUUACCCGCAGAAGAAGCACCGGCUAACUCCGUGCCAGCAGCCGCGGUAAUACGGAGGGUGCAAGCGUUAAUCGGAAUUACUGGGCGUAAAGCGCACGCAGGCGGUCUGUCAAGUCGGAUGUGAAAUCCCCGGGCUCAACCUGGGAACUGCAUUCGAAACUGGCAGGCUAGAGUCUUGUAGAGGGGGGUAGAAUUCCAGGUGUAGCGGUGAAAUGCGUAGAGAUCUGGAGGAAUACCGGUGGCGAAGGCGGCCCCCUGGACAAAGACUGACGCUCAGGUGCGAAAGCGUGGGGAGCAAACAGGAUUAGAUACCCUGGUAGUCCACGCCGUAAACGAUGUCGAUUUGGAGGUUGUGCCCUUGAGGCGUGGCUUCCGGAGCUAACGCGUUAAAUCGACCGCCUGGGGAGUACGGCCGCAAGGUUAAAACUCAAAUGAAUUGACGGGGGCCCGCACAAGCGGUGGAGCAUGUGGUUUAAUUCGAUGCAACGCGAAGAACCUUACCUGGUCUUGACAUCCACAGAACUUUCCAGAGAUGGAUUGGUGCCUUCGGGAACUGUGAGACAGGUGCUGCAUGGCUGUCGUCAGCUCGUGUUGUGAAAUGUUGGGUUAAGUCCCGCAACGAGCGCAACCCUUAUCCUUUGUUGCCAGCGGUUCGGCCGGGAACUCAAAGGAGACUGCCAGUGAUAAACUGGAGGAAGGUGGGGAUGACGUCAAGUCAUCAUGGCCCUUACGACCAGGGCUACACACGUGCUACAAUGGCAUAUACAAAGAGAAGCGACCUCGCGAGAGCAAGCGGACCUCAUAAAGUAUGUCGUAGUCCGGAUUGGAGUCUGCAACUCGACUCCAUGAAGUCGGAAUCGCUAGUAAUCGUAGAUCAGAAUGCUACGGUGAAUACGUUCCCGGGCCUUGUACACACCGCCCGUCACACCAUGGGAGUGGGUUGCAAAAGAAGUAGGUAGCUUAACCUUCGGGAGGGCGCUUACCACUUUGUGAUUCAUGACUGGGGUGAAGUCGUACAAGGGUAA
rnacentral:rRNA from 1 species